rnacentral:rRNA from 1 species
CCUACGGGUGGCAGCAGUGAGGAAUAUUGGUCAAUGGACGCAAGCCUGAACCAGCCAUGCCGCGUGCAGGCAGACGGCUCUAUGAGUUGUAAACUGCUUUUGUAGGAGGGUAAACGCAGAAACGCGUAUCUGUCUGAAAGUAUCGUACGAAUAAGGAUCGGCGAACUCCGUGCCAGCAGCCGCGGGAAUACGGAGGAUUCAAGCGUUAUCCGGAUUUAUUGGGUUGAACGGGUGCCGAGGCGGUCGGAUAAGUUAGAGGUGAAGUCCCGGGGCUCAACUUCGGAAUUGCCUCUGAUACUGGUCGGCUAGAGAGUAGUUGAGGUAGGCGGAAUGUAUGGUGUAGCGGUGAAAUGCUUAGAGAUCAGACAGAACACCGAUUGCGAAGGCAGCUUACCAAGCUACUUCUGACGUUGAGGCACGAAAGCGUGGGGAGCAAACAGGAUUAGAUACCCCUGUAGUC